rnacentral:tRNA from 1 species
GAGGCUGUAGCUCAGUGGUAGAGUGUGUGCUUAGCAUGCAUGAGGCCCUGGGUUCAAUCCCCAGUACUUCCA